AUUGAACGCUGGCGGCAUGCUUUACACAUGCAAGUCGAACGGUAACAGGGUGCUUGCACCGCUGACGAGUGGCGAACGGGUGAGUAAUGCGUCGGAACGUGACGAGUAGUGGGGGAUAACGCAGCGAAAGUUGUGCUAAUACCGCAUACGUACUGAGGUAGAAAGUGGGGGACCUUCGGGCCUCACGCUAUUCGAGCGGCCGACGUCGGAUUAGCUAGUUGGUGGGGUAAUGGCCCACCAAGGCGACCAUCCGUAACUGGGCUGAGAGGAUGAUCAGCCACACAGGAACUGAGACACGGUCCAGACUGCUACGGGAGGCAGCAGUGAGGAAUACUGGACAAAGGGGGAGAGCCUGAUCCAGCCAUGCCGGGAGUGUGAAGAAGGUCUUCGGAUUGUAAAGCACUGUAAGUCGGGAGGAAGGACUGUAGGCUAAUACCUUGCAGUUUUGACGUUACCGACAGAAUAAGCACCGGCUAACUUCGUGCCAGCCGCCGCGGUAAGAC
rnacentral:rRNA from 1 species